GGAAGUGGGGUUCUAAGGUACAGCGUUUGCCUAGCAUGCAUGAAGCCCUGGGUUCAAAUCCCAGCACUGCAA
rnacentral:tRNA from 1 species